GUGCUUGCCUUGGCAGCAUAUAUACUAAAAUUGGAACUAUACACAAAAGAUUAGCGUGGCCUCUGCACAAGGAUGACAUACAAAUUUGUGAAGCAUUCUAUAUUUUU
ensembl:snRNA U6 U6 spliceosomal RNA